UCAAUAAGCGGAGGAAAAGAAACUAACAAGGAUUCCCCUAGUAGCGGCGAGCGAAGCGGGAAGAGCUCAAAUUUAUAAUCUGGCACCUUCGGUGUCCGAGUUGUAAUCUCUAGAAGUGUUUUCCGCGUUGGACCGCACACAAGUCUGUUGGAAUACAGCGGCACAGUGGUGAUACCCCCGUACACGGUGCGGACGCCCAGCGCUUUGUGAUACACUUUCAAAGAGUCGAGUUGUUUGGGAAUGCAGCUCAAAUUGGGUGGUAAAUUCCAUCUAAAGCUAAAUAUUGGCGAGAGACCGAUAGCGAACAAGUACCGUGAGGGAAAGAUGAAAAGCACUUUGGAAAGAGAGUUAACAGUACGUGAAAUUGUUGGAAGGGAAACGCUUGAAGUCAGACUUGCUUGCCGGAGCUUGCUUCGGUUUGCAGGCCAGCAUCAGUUUUUCGGGGUGGAUAAUGGCGGUUUGAAGGUAGCAGUCUCGUGCUGUGUUAUAGCUUUCCGCUGGAUACACCCUGGGGGACUGAGGAACGCAGCGUGCUUUUAGCGAAGGUUUCGACCUUUUCACGCUUAGGAUGCUGGUGGAAUGGCUUUAAACGACCCGUCUUGAAACAC
rnacentral:rRNA from 1 species